AUCACAUCAAGUAGUCAAUGUUUGUUCCAUUUGACAUUCCGAAUUGUUUUCGUAUCUGGAAAUUAGAAAUGGAUUGUGAGGCUCAGGAUGAUUUGUUUCGCUGGCAUUUUGGCGCUUGUUUAUCAGCGAUAGAAAAAAAAAGUUCCGGAAAUUGAAAACAGCCGGAUUUGAAGAAUUUGAUUGUCACCGUUUCUAGAUGCGAUGUUUCAAGACCGAUGGCCAUCCAAGGGACAGAUCCUACAUACGGAACCUAGAAAAUCAGUGUUUCUGUUUCAAGAUUACGGUCUAUGAACAAAGAUUUAGACAGGAUUCUGAUAGGGUAGGAUUCAUGUGUGGUUAGUUCUGUUUUCAGGACUCCUUUCUUCUGAAAGGCUUAAGCAAAAUAGGGCACCCCGUAUUCGAACAGCCCAAGAAGAGAAGACCCGGGUGAUGAAAAAGUUUACCAAAGAAUAGUUU